GGUUUGAUCAUAAGCUCAGAUUGAACGCUGGCAGGAUGCUUUACAUGCAAGUCGAACGGCAGCACGGACUUCGGUCUGGUGGCGAGUGGCGAGCGGGUGGUAAUGUAUCGGAACGUGCCUGUGCCGGGGAUGACUUUGCGCUGGCGCCUUCAAUGCCACGCUGCGCCGCUGGAAAGCAGGGACCUUCUGGGCUCGCACUGUGAGCGGCCGAUAUCAGAUUGUGGUGGUGAGUAACGACUCGCAAGCGACGAUCCAGCAACUGAUUUGAAAGGACGACCAACCACACUGGGACUGAGACACGGCGAACUCCGCAAGGAAGGCAGCAGUGGAAAUUUUACGGACAAUGGAAACCUGAUCCAGCCAUCCCGCGGCGGUAAUGCGAUGAAGGCCUUCAGGUUGUAAAGCACUUUUUGGCAGGAAAGAAACGGCACGGGAUAAUACCCAUUCGCUGACCGUACCGCAGAAGAAUAAGCACCUACGGCUAACUACGUGUAUAAGCCGCUGAUAAUACGUAGGGUGCAAGCGUUAAUCGGAAUUACUGGGCGUAAAGCGUGCGCGAGCGGUUCGGAAAGAAGAUGUAAUCAGGCUUAACUUUUGGAACUGCAUUUUUAACUACCGAGCUAGAAGUGUCAGAAGGGAGGUGGAAUUCCGCGAUGUGGCGAUGAAAUGCGUAAAGAUAUGCGGAGGAACACCGAUAGCGAGCAGCCUCCUGGGAUAACGCGGCAGCAAACGAAGCGUGGGAGCAAGAAGCAAGAUUAGAUACCCUGGUAGUCCACGCCCUAAACGAUGUCAGCAGCUGUUGGGGCCUUCGGGCUUGCGGUAGCGCAACUAACGCGUGAAGUUGACCGCCUGGGAAGUACGGUCUGGAAUUAAACUCAAAGAAUUGACGGACCCGCACAAGCGGUGGAUGAUGUGGAUUAAUUCGAUGCAACGCGAAAACCUUACCUACCUUGACAUAUCUGGAAUCCCGAAGAUUUGAGUGCUCGCAGAACUUGAGUUACAGGUGCUAUAGCUGUCGUCAGCUCGUGUCGUGAGAUGUUGAGUUAAGUCCGCAACGAGCGCAACCCUUGUCAUUGGUUGCUACGAAGGGCCUCAUAGAACUGCCGGUGACAAACCGGAGGAAGGUGGGGAUGACGUCGGAAUCCUCAUGGCCCUUAUGGGUGGGGCUUCACACGUCAUACAAUGGUCGGGACAGAGGGUCGCCCAACCCGCGAGGAGCCAAUCCAGAAGCCCGAUCGUAGUCGGAUCACAGUCUGCAACUCGACUGUGAAGUCAGAAUCGCUAAUAAUCGCGGAUCAACAUGUCGCGGUGAAUACACGUUCCCGGAGUCUUAUACCUGCCGCCCGUCACACCGCCAGAAUUGGUUUUACCGAAGUAGUUAGCUAACCGUAAGGAGGCGAUUGCAGUAGGAUUCAUGACUGGGGUGAAGUCGUAACAAGGCUAA
rnacentral:rRNA from 1 species